UAUUAUUUAAAAUGUAAAUAAAUAUAUUUAAGUAGUAAUAGAUAUGUUCUUGAAACUUAAAAAAUUUGGCGGUAUUUUAGUCUAUCCAGAGGAACUUGUUUUAUAAUCGAUAAUCCACGAUGGACCUUACUUAAAUUUGUAUCCAGUUUAUAUACCGUCGUUAUCAGAAUAUUUUAUAAGAAUAAUAAUAUUCAAUAAUUUUUAUUAAAAUUUAUAUCAGAUCAAGGUGUAGCUUAUGUUUAAGUAGUAAUGAGUUACAAUAAAAUUAUUUAAAUGAAUAUAAUUAUGAAAAAAUUAUUGAAGGUGGAUUUGGUAGUAAAAUUAUAAAGAUUAAUAAUUUGAUUUUAGCUCUAAAAUAUGUACACAUCGCCCGUCGCUCUUAUUAUUAAGGUAAGAUAAGUCGUAACAUAGUAGAUGUACUGGAAAGUGUCUCUAGAAUGA
rnacentral:rRNA from 1 species